UUGACUUGUUUUGUUUGUACUCGGAGAUGCCACGCUGCAGAGACAGAGUAGGGGGCCACCGGCAGGCACAGCGCCCGGCGCAGAGGCCGGGCACCCGCCGAGGCAACGUUUUGGUAGGUUCACAGGGUUGUGGGAUCUUGCGAUUCCAGUAAUGAUCCCUCCGCUGGUUCACCAACGGAGA
rnacentral:misc_RNA from 1 species